GACGAACGCUGGCGGCGUGCCUAAUACAUGCAAGUAGAACGCUGAAGGAGGAGCUUGCUCUUCUGGAUGAGUUGCGAACGGGUGAGUAACGCGUAGGUAACCUGCCUGGUAGCGGGGGAUAACUAUUGGAAACGAUAGCUAAUACCGCAUAACAGUAGAUGUUGCAUGACAUUUGCUUAAAAGGUGCAAUUGCACCACUACCAGAUGGACCUGCGUUGUAUUAGCUAGUUGGUGGGGUAACGGCUCACCAAGGCGACGAUACAUAGCCGACCUGAGAGGGUGAUCGGCCACACUGGGACUGAGACACGGCCCAGACUCCUACGGGAGGCAGCAGUAGGGAAUCUUCGGCAAUGGACGGAAGUCUGACCGAGCAACGCCGCGUGAGUGAAGAAGGUUUUCGGAUCGAAAAGCUCUGUUGUAAGAGAAGAACGAGUGUGAGAGUGGAAAGUUCACACUGUGACGGUAUCUUACCAGAAAGGGACGGCUAACUACGUG
rnacentral:rRNA from 1 species